AUUGAACGCUGGCGGCGGGCCUAACACAUGCAAGUCGAGCGGAGCGGCGGACGGGUGAGUAAUGCCUAGGAAUCUGCCUGGUAGUGAGGGAUAACGUCCGGAAACGGGCGCUAAUACAGCAUAAUAGCAAAUGAGCCUAGGUCGGAUUAGCUAGUUGGUGGGGUAAAGGCUUACCAAGGCGACGAUGCGUAACUGGUCUGAGAGGAUGAUCAGUCACACUGGAACUGAGACACGGUACCGACUCCUACGGGAGGCAGCAGUGGGGAAUAUUGGGCAAUGGGCGAAAGCCUGACCCAGCCAUGCCGCGUGUGUGAAGAAGGUCUUCGGAUUGUAAAGCACUUUAGUUUGGGAGGCGUUAUCAACAGAAUAAGCACCGGCUAACUUCGUGCCAGCAGCCGCGGUAAUAC
rnacentral:rRNA from 1 species